AUGAACGCUAGCUACAGGCUUAACACAUGCAAGUCGAGGGGCAGCAUGAUUGAAGCUUGCUUCAAUCGAUGGCGACCGGCGCACGGGUGAGUAACACGUAUCCAACCUGCCGAUAACUCGGGGAUAGCCUUUCGAAAGAAAGAUUAAUACCCGAUAGUAUAGUAUUUCCGCAUGGUUUCACUAUUAAAGAAUUUCGGUUAUCGAUGGGGAUGCGUUCCAUUAGAUAGUUGGCGGGGUAACGGCCCACCAAGUCAACGAUGGAUAGGGGUUCUGAGAGGAAGGUCCCCCACAUUGGAACUGAGACACGGUCCAAACUCCUACGGGAGGCAGCAGUGAGGAAUAUUGGUCAAUGGACGAGAGUCUGAACCAGCCAAGUAGCGUGAAGGAUGACUGCCCUAUGGGUUGUAAACUUCUUUUAUACGGGAAUAAAGUGGAGUAUGCAUACUCCUUUGUAUGUACCGUAUGAAUAAGGAUCGGCUAACUCCGUGCCAGCAGCCGCGGUAAUACGGAGGAUCCGAGCGUUAUCCGGAUUUAUUGGGUUUAAAGGGAGCGUAGGCGGGUGCUUAAGUCAGUUGUGAAAGUUUGCGGCUCAACCGUAAAAUUGCAGUUGAUACUGGGUACCUUGAGUGCAGCAUAGGUAGGCGGAAUUCGUGGUGUAGCGGUGAAAUGCUUAGAUAUCACGAAGAACUCCGAUUGCGAAGGCAGCUUACUGGACUGUAACUGACGCUGAUGCUCGAAAGUGUGGGUAUCAAACAGGAUUAGAUACCCUGGUAGUCCACACAGUAAACGAUGAAUACUCGCUGUUGGCGAUUCCCCGUCAGCGGCCAAGCGAAUGCAUUAAGUAUUCCACCUGGGGAGUACGCCGGCAACGGUGAAACUCAAAGGAAUUGACGGGGGCCCGCACAAGCGGUGGAGCAUGUGGUUUAAUUCGAAGCAACGCGAAGAACCUUACCUGGUCUUGACAUCCUUCUGACCGGUCCUUAACCGGACCUUUCCUUCGGGACAGGAGAGACAGGUGGUGCAUGGUUGUCGUCAGCUCGUGCCGUGAGGUGUCGGCUUAAGUGCCAUAACGAGCGCAACCCUUAUCUAUAGUUACUAUCAGGUCAUGCUGAGGACUCUAUGGAGACUGCCGUCGUAAGAUGUGAGGAAGGUGGGGAUGACGUCAAAUCAGCACGGCCCUUACGUCCGGGGCUACACACGUGUUACAAUGGGGGGUACAGAAGGCAGCUACCUGGCGACAGGAUGCUAAUCCCUAAAACCUCUCUCAGUUCGGAUUGGAGUCUGCAACCCGACUCCAUGAAGCUGGAUUCGCUAGUAAUCGCGCAUCAGCCACGGCGCGGUGAAUACGUUCCCGGGCCUUGUACACACCGCCCGUCAAGCCAUGAAAGCCGGGGGUACCUGAAGUACGUAACCGCAAGGAGCGUCCUAGGGUAAAACUGGUGAUUGGGGCU
rnacentral:rRNA from 1 species